GACAAAGGAGUAUCAUAUUAGCUAAUAUUAAUCCUCGAUAUAAGUAAUUAACCUAGAGGAACGUGAGGUCAAUGUGUAGAGGGAUAUUUAUUAUAAAUUAAAAUUGUUGAGGAUGAAUAUGUAAAAAAAAAAAAAAUCCUAUUAUACGAUCCAACAGAGGGUCAAGAGCACCUAAGCUUAAACUUUGGAGCAUGAAUGCAUGUCUCUGUCAUCAGGCUUUGGGCUUGUGGUGGCUGCAUGCAGGGAUGUUUGCAUUCGUCCACGUAAAAGGUGAAGACAGGUUGUGGUGGGUGACAUAUACACACAAUUGUCGGUCCAGGUUUGGAAAUGGAGUGAGUUGUUCUAAAGCAAUCAGCAUGAGAUGUUUCCGGGAAG
rnacentral:lncRNA from 1 species